rnacentral:rRNA from 1 species
AUUGAACGCUGGCGGCAGGCCUAACACAUGCAAGUCGAGCGGUAGAGAGGAGCUUGCUUCUCUUGAGAGCGGCGGACGGGUGAGUAAUGCCUAGGAAUCUGCCUGGUAGUGGGGGAUAACGUUCGGAAACGGACGCUAAUACCGCAUACGUCCUACGGGAGAAAGUGGGGGAUCUUCGGACCUCACGCUAUCAGAUGAGCCUAGGUCGGAUUAGCUAGUUGGUGAGGUAAAGGCUCACCAAGGCGACGAUCCGGAACUGGUCUGAGAGGAUGAUCAGUCACACUGGAACUGCGACAAGGGCCAGACUCCUACGGGAGGCAGCAGUGGGGGAUAGUGGACAAUGGGCGCAAGCCUGAUCCAGCCAUGCCGCGUGUGUGAAGAAGGUCUUCGGAUUGUAAAGCACUUUAAGUUGGGAGGAAGGUCAGUAGCUUAAUACGUUGCUGAUUUGACGUUACCGACAGAAUAAGCACCGGCUAACUCUGUGCCGGCCGCCGCCGUAAGAC